rnacentral:ncRNA from 2 species
AAGAGUGCCCAACUCCGAAGCCUCUGGCUCUAAGUGACCCAUGUCAUACGAGCCUUUGGCCGCAGCCAAUGCUGCCGGGUCUGCGCGGGAAACCGUCUGGCCUCUCGCGAUUAGAAAGGAGCCAGCUUGUGCGCUUA